rnacentral:rRNA from 1 species
GAUGAACGCUGGCGGCGUGCCUAAUACAUGCAAGUCGAGCGAACAGACGAGGAGCUUGCUCCUCUGACGUUAGCGGCGGACGGGUGAGUAACACGUGGAUAACCUACCUAUAAGACUGGGAUAACUUCGGGAAACCGGAGCUAAUACCGGAUAAUAUAUUGAACCGCAUGGUUCAAUAGUGAAAGACGGUUUUGCUGUCACUUAUAGAUGGAUCCGCGCCGCAUUAGCUAGUUGGUAAGGUAACGGCUUACCAAGGCGACGAUGCGUAGCCGACCUGAGAGGGUGAUCGGCCACACUGGAACUGAGACACGGUCCAGACUCCUACGGGAGGCAGCAGUAGGGAAUCUUCCGCAAUGGGCGAAAGCCUGACGGAGCAACGCCGCGUGAGUGAUGAAGGUCUUCGGAUCGUAAAACUCUGUUAUUAGGGAAGAACAAAUGUGUAAGUAACUAUGCACGUCUUGACGGUACCUAUCAGAAAGCCACGGCUAACUACGUG